GUUCUUGUUUAGACAGCACAUAUACUAAAAUUGGAAUGAUACAGAGAAGAUUAGCAUGACCCUGCACAAGGAUGAAGAGUAGGUUUUAAAUUUU
ensembl:snRNA RNU6-1090P RNA, U6 small nuclear 1090, pseudogene